rnacentral:misc_RNA from 1 species
UGGAAGUAAAAGUCGUAACAAGGUUUCCGUUGGUGAACCAGCGGAAGGAUCAUUACAGCGAAGCGGCGCGAGCCGCCUUUCGAACCACCGCGUACCGAACCCCCCACGUUGCCUCGGCGGGCGCCGGGCGCCCCGCGCCCGCCCCGCCGAACGGCCCCCCAGCAAGACCCCUUCCGUCGAGAUGGCGUCGUCUGAACCCUCCGGGGAAAACGUUUGAAACGAAAAACACAACUUUCAACAAUGGAUCUCUUGGCUCCGGCAUCGAUGAAGAACGCAGCGAAACGCGAUAGCUAGUGUGAAUUGCAGAUUUCAGUGAAUCAUCGAGUCUUUGAACGCACAUUGCGCCUCUUGGUAUUCCUCGAGGCAUGCCUGUUCGAGCGUCGUUACGCCCCUCAAGCGCGAGCUUGGUGUUGGGGACCGCCCCUGAGACACGGCGGCGGCCCCGGAAUGCAUCGGCGGUGCUGGUCCCAGCCCGGAGCGCAGCAGACAUGCGGCUCCGCGGGCGGGGCCGGCGCCCGCCGGACAAACGACGAGACCCCUCCACAAGUCGACCUCGAAUCAGGUAGGGAUACCCGCUGAACUUAAGCAUAUCAAUAAGCGGAGGAA